UACGUAAGGGGCGAGCGUUGUUCGGGAUUAUUGGGCGUAAAGGGUGAGUAGGCGGAUAUGCAAGUCUGUGCGUAAAAUACCACAGCUCAACUGUGGAGCUAUGCUAGAAACUGCAUGACUAGAGUCUGAUAGGGGAAGUUAGAAUUCCUGGUGUAAGGGUGGAAUCUGUUGAUAUCAGGAAGAAUACCAGAGGCGAAGGCGAACUUCUAGGUCAAGACUGACGCUGAGUCACGAAAGCGUAGGGAGCAAACA
rnacentral:rRNA from 1 species